AACGUCCGCACGGGCAGCAGCGCACGGCAUCUAUUGCCGGGCGUUGGGGCCGGUGCUGGGCGUGCAUCGACGGAGCAUUUGGACGCACGGCGCGUGAGUUGUGUUCGGCACGCGCGGUUAGGUUGGAUCCCUGCUCGAGCAGCGACGUCCUGACCCGCCUGCCAUCUCAGUCGCGGGGCAAGCGCAAUGCAGGCUUGCUCGAAGUCGGUUUCCUGUGCUGCAUACCUAAUGCCCAGGCAUUAUCAAGUUUUACCGACCGCCUUUCGCCCCUCGCAUUUCGUGCGCGGGGCGAAUCGAAAGGCCGCCCUCGCGUCCCACGCCUCCCUCGCUUCGUCGUGCGAUGUCGUGGUCCGUGAGCGGCGGUUCCGGCGGCCGGCAUGGGCGGCGGCCAGUGUGGGCAGCGCCCACGCAUGAGCCUCGGUGUGCCUUCAUCUCCCCUGCUCCCUCCAAGAGCAGGUUAUCGUGUCAAACGAGACAUGCUUCAGCCUUGCAACGUCCGCAUGGGCAGCAGCGCAUGACAUUUAUUGCUGGGCGUUGGGGCCGGUGCUAGGCGUGCAUCGACGGAGCAUUUGGACGCACGGCGUGUGAGUUGUGUUCGGCACGUGCGGUUAGGUUGGAUCCCUACUCGAGCAGCGACGUCCUGACCCGCCUGCCAUCUCAGUCGCGGGGCAAGCGCAAUGCAGGCUUGCUCGAAGUCGGUUUCCUGUGCUGCAUACCUAAUGCCCAGGCAUUAUCAAGUUUUAUCGAUCGUCUUUCGCCCGUCGCAUUUCGUGCGCGGAGCGAAUCGAAAGGCCGCCCUCGCGUCCCACGCCUCCC
rnacentral:lncRNA from 1 species